rnacentral:rRNA from 1 species
AUUGAACGCUGGCGGCAUGCUUUACACAUGCAAGUCGAACGGCAGCACGAGUGCUUGCACUUGGUGGCGAGUGGCGAACGGGUGAGUAAUACAUCGGAACGUGUCCUGAAGUGGGGGAUAACGCAUCGAAAGAUGUGCUAAUACCGCAUAAUCUCUCAGGAGGAAAGCAGGGGAUCGAAAGACCUUGCGCUUUUGGAGCGGCCGAUGUCUGAUUAGCUAGUUGGUGGGGUAAUGGCCUACCAAGGCAACGAUCAGUAGUUGGUCUGAGAGGAUGAUCAGCCACACCGGAACUGAGACACGGUCCGGACUCCUACGGGAGGCAGCAGUGGGGAAUAUUGCGCAAUGGGCGAAAGCCUGACGCAGCCAUACCGCGUGUGUGAAGAA